CAAAAACAUAGCUAUAUGAAAGAAUAUAUAGUGUCUUCUGCCCACGGAAUUUUUAAACGGCCGCAGUACCCUGACUGUGCUAAGGUAGCAUAAUCAUUUGGCUUAUAAUUGAAGUCUGGAAUGAAUGGAAUAAUGGAAAAUAGCUGUCUCGAUUAUAUAAACUAAAAUUACUUAAAAAGUGCAAAUGCUUUUUUACUAAAUAAUAGACGAGAAGACCCUAGAAAUUUAAAUUAGUUCGUAUAAGUCAUUUUUGUUGGGGCAACAGUGGAGCAGUUUAACCUCUAUUACUUACAUGACAAUAAUCUUUUGAGAGGAAAAAUUACUCUAGGGAUAACAGCGUAAUUUUUAAAUGUUUGCGACCUCGAUGUUGGAUUAGGAAUAUAUAUUUUAGAAGACUAAUGUAAUAGCUCUGUUCGAGCU
rnacentral:rRNA from 1 species